UUUCCGUAGGUGAACCUGCGGAAGGAUCAUUAACACGUAUCCACGUAUCAAACCCCUCUGUGAAAACUUAUUCUCUUGCAAGGCUUGGUCUUAGUGUGUUGCUCGUACAAGUCCUAAUGAUGGAGGUCUCUUCGGAGACCUAGGGCUUGAGUGGCAUGUGUUUGACGAUCAGCCGUCACUUUUCCAUCGUUGGCCUUUACCUCUAUUUUUAACCCCUUUGUACUCUUUUGUACUGAACCAAUUCUUCGAUGCUUUUUUCGAAAAGCGACGAAAGAUAUUACGAAACUAAAGAACAACUCUUAGCAACGGAUAUCUUGGUUCCC
rnacentral:misc_RNA from 1 species